AAGCUAAAAUGGAAUUUGUUAAUAUAGCAAUUAAUCUUAACCGGCACAAGGAAUGUUAGGCUAGGAGUCUUACAGUAACAAUAAACAAAGGAUGAUGGAAACCCCCAAUGGAAAAUCCAUACACCCGUGAAAAUAAAUAAAAAUCCAAAAACCUAUAGGAAACACCUCCUAACAAAGGGCUAUCUCCGAAAUCAAUAAAUAGAAACACCAAAACAAAGCUAACAUCACGAUCAACAAAACAACAUAAACAAAAUCCUCAAGCAUCGUCACAACUGCCACAAAAACAACUUCUACCACACCCACAUUCCGCUGCUCGCACACAACCCCUGAACAUCAACUUAAAAACCUACACCACAACCAACAACCUUUGAAAACAGCCGGGAAAAAAAACCCCAAACACCACCAUGAGCUCUCCUAAGCACCUUCAUCCAAAACACACCUCGUAAACAACCGCAAAAGCUAACCAAAAAUCCUUGUACCAUCACCAAAAACCACCACAAACAUAACCACAAAAAUCAACACCAUUACCACCACCUUCACCAAAACUACCAUUGACCACCACAAAAAUCACCAUUAACCCUCACCUAAAAGCAACACCAGCCACCACGCGCAGCACACCUAAAACCACCACAAGCAUCACCACCAAAAACCACCACGAGCCCCCGCCACAAAAGACCCAAAAUCAACACCACCAAGAAAACCAUCAUGAAGUACCACAAACCAAUACAACCAAAGAUCCAUCGAAACCAUAUAAGUUCAUAAGCGAAUCUAGAUAUGAUUCAUCACCACCAUCGUGACCGAUCUGUCACCACCUAUGUUGCGAGCAAACAUAACCUCCACCACAACCAAGAGAGAAAACAAAUCAAAUAGUUUGAGACCCACGAAAACCAAACAACCACAGACAAGCAUCCAACGACACACCACAAAACCCACCAACGUCUCAGCCAAACGAAACAAAUAAAAAACAUCAAAAAUACAAACCAACCUUUACGACGAUAGAGAGCAACCGCACGUCGGAAAGGUACGGUGGUGCGGAGGACAGUGACCCUCGUCGCACCACCAUCCAUUUGAUCUACAUGAUGACGGGGGCGGAUUUAAAAUUUGUGUGAGGAAGAAAGGAGUACGGCGGUUUUACGUUUAGAAAAAAUGGAAUACAACGGCUAUCUCUUAUGUGUGUUUUGUAAAAAAGU
rnacentral:lncRNA from 1 species